CGGAUGUAGCCAAGUGGAUCAAGGCAGUGGAUUGUGAAUCCACCAUGCCGC
rnacentral:tRNA from 1 species